UAAUUUCUUAUUUUUAUAGAAAAAUAUAAAUGUUCUAAUAUUUUCCUCCUGCACUAUUUACUGGUUUGUUUACACCCCAUUGAUUUAAUCCAUUUUGCCCCAGUCCAGAGACUGUUUUGUAGACAGACAUGAUAUCUUGUGAGAAAGGGUGAAAAAAUGUGUUAUUUCAUACCAAAUCGCACUGUAGGAACCUCUGAUGGGGUUGGCACAGUCUAUCUCAGUGGGAAAAUACAUUCUAAUCUUCCACUUACAGAGACAGGUCAGGGAGGGAGAAGGAGAAGAACGGAAUUUCAAGGCUAGGCUGUAUGUUGAUGGAGGAUGCCUGCAGAGUCCAUAGUCAUGCCAUUUUUUUUGCCUCUUUGGCCUGGAAGGGAAAGGGCUGGAUCCUGAUGGGGCUAGGGCUGAAUGCUUGACAUAAUAAAGUGAGAAGAGAUGUAGUGAAUGGAGGGUGAAUAAUAUUCCAUUAGUAUUCAUUAAGUAAUUAAUUCCAUUCAGUAAUAUCCAAUUGUAUGCAUAAACCACAUUUUCUUUAUCCGUUCAUUGGAAAAGGAUGGACAUUUGAGUUCUUUCUUCUUUUUUUUUUGAGACAGAGUCUUGCUCUGUUGCCCAGCCUAGAGUGCAGUGGUGCGAACUCAGCUCACUGCAACCCUUGCCUCUCAGGUUCAAGUGAUUCUUGUACCUCAGCUUCCUGAGUAGCUGGGACUACAGGCGCCCACCACCACACCGGCUAAUUUUUUUCUUUUUUUGUAUUUUUAGUAGAGACGGGGUUUCACCAUGUUAGCCAGGAUGGUCUCGAUCUCCUGACCUUGUUAUCUGCCUGCCUUGGCCUCCCAAAGUGCUGGGAUUACAGGCAUGAGCCACCGUGCCCGGCCAACACCAGAGCUUUUUGCGGCAGGUGUUAAUCAUGUCCCCAUCUCACCGGUGAGACUGCUGAGUCUUGGAGCAUCUCCCAUGUAUACCCAACACAUCACUCUUUUUUACUGGCUCCGGUGGACGUUCAAUGAAGUCUGUUCCUUUUUUAGAAUAAAUAUAUGUGUAUUCUCUUCUCUGACUCAACUCGACUGUAAAACAAAUAAUGAUACAGUGUUUACUCUGGUUCUUCAGAUAAAUAUGAGAGGAGGCAGUUUUGUUUUUCUUUGGGCUGAGACCUCCCUGGGAGCAGGAAGCCUGGCUGUGGCAAGCACAGUUUCUGUAGCUGCAUCCCCAUGCGAUCCUGUAAGUAGGAACACUCGGAAUGUAAUACCAGCAAAGUGUGGUCUAGAGAUAGUCAAGCUUGACCCAAUAAAAACAGGAGAACCAAAUUGCACUCCAAGGCAUCCCCAAGACUCUUGUAUAACAAGAACAGCCAGCACUGCAUGAGCCUACCUUAGGCCAGCUGCUGUCCUAAGCACAUUACAUUUAUUGACU
rnacentral:lncRNA from 13 species